rnacentral:rRNA from 1 species
GAUUAACGCUAGCGGCAGGCCUAAUACAUGCAAGUCGAGGGGCAGCAGGGUGUAGCAAUACAUCGCUGGCGACCGGCGCACGGGUGCGUAACACGUAUGCAACCUACCUUUAACUGGGGAAUAGCCCUCCGAAAGGAGGAUUAACACCGCAUAACAUCACGAGACGGCAUCGCCUUGUGAUCAAACCUCCGGGGGUUAAAGAUGGGCAUGCGUCCGAUUAGCUAGUUGGCGGGGUAACGGCUCACCAAGACGACGAUCAGUAGCCGGCCUGAGAGGGUGACCGGCCACACUGGAACUGAGACACGGUCCAGACUCCUACGGGAGGCAGCAGUAAGGAAUAUUGGACAAUGGUCGCAAGACUGAUCCAGCCAUGCCGCGUGCAGGAUGAACGAUCUAUGAUCUGUAAACUGCUUUUGUUCGGGAAUAAACCCCUUCACGUGUGGAGGGCUGAAUGUACCGAAAGAAUAAGGGUCGGCUAACUUCGUGCC